rnacentral:rRNA from 1 species
UUUGCCUACGGGACGCAGCAGUAGGGAAUCUUCCACAAUGGACGAAAGUCUGAUGGAGCAACGCCGCGUGAGUGAAGAAGGGUUUCGGCUCGGAAAGCUCUGUUGGGAGUGAAGAAAGAUAGAGGUAGUAACUUGCCUUUAUUUGACGGUAAUUACUUAGAAAGUCACGGCUAACUACGUGCCAGCAGCCGCGGUAAUACGGAGGUGGCAAGCGUUUUCCGGAUUUAUUGGGCGUAAAACGA